rnacentral:rRNA from 1 species
UACGUAGGGUGCGAGCGUUGUCCGGAAUUAUUGGGCGUAAAGAGCUUGUAGGCGGUCUGUCGCGUCUGCUGUGAAAAUCCGGGGCUCAACCCCGGACUUGCAGUGGGUACGGGCAGACUAGAGUGUGGCAGGGGAGACUGGAAUUCCUGGUGUAGCGGUGGAAUGCGCAGAUAUCAGGAGGAACACCGGUGGCGAAGGCGGGUCUCUGGGCAGUAACUGACGCUGAGGAGCGAAAGCGUGGGGAGCGAACAGG